rnacentral:rRNA from 1 species
AGUGAACGCUGGCGGCGUGCCUAAUACAUGCAAGUCGAACGGAAUUUAAGAGAGCUUGCUCUUUUAAAUUUAGUGGCGCACGGGUGAGUAAUAUAUAGCUAAUCUGCCCCUUGCCGGAGGACAACAGUUAGAAAUGACUGCUAAUACUCCAUACUCCUUUUUACCAUAAGAUAAAUCGGGAAAGAAUUUCGGCAAGGGAUGAGACUAUAUCGUAUCAGCUAGUCGGUGGGGUAACGGCCUACCGAGGCUAUGACGCGUAACUGGUCUGAGAGGAUGAUCAGUCACAUUGGAACUGAGACACGGUCCAAACUCCUACGGGAGGCAGCAGUAGGGAAUAUUGCGCAAUGGGGGAAACCCUGACGCAGCAACGCCGCGUGGAGGAUGACACUUUUCGGAGCGUAAACUCCUUUUGUUAGGGAAGAAUAAUGACGGACCUAACGAAUAAGCACC